CCUACGGGAGGCUGCAGUGGGGAAUAUUGCACAAUGGGCGCAAGCCUGAUGCAGCCAUGCCGCGUGUGUGAAGAAGGCCUUCGGGUUGUAAAGCACUUUCAGCGGGAGGAAGGCGUUAAGGUUAAUAACCUUGGCGAUUGACGUUACCCGCAGAAGAAGCACCGGCUAACUCCGUGCCAGCAGCCGCGGUAAUACGGAGGGUGCAAGCGUCAAUCGGAAUUACUGGGCGUAAAGCGCACGCAGGCGGUCUGUCAAGUCGGAUGUGAAAUCCCCGGGCUCAACCUGGGAACUGCAUUCGAAACUGGCAGGCUAGAGUCUUGUAGAGGGGGGUAGAAUUCCAAGUGUAGCGGUGAAAUGCGUAGAGAUCUGGAGGAAUACCGGUGGCGAAGGCGGCCCCCUGGACAAAGACUGACGCUCAGGUGCGAAAGCGUGGGGAGCAAACAGGAUUAGAUACCCCAGUAGUC
rnacentral:rRNA from 1 species